rnacentral:rRNA from 1 species
GACGAACGCUGGCGGCGUGCUUAACACAUGCAAGUCGAACGGAAAGGCCCUGCUUUUGUGGGGUGCUCGAGUGGCGAACGGGUGAGUAACACGUGAGUAACCUGCCCUUGACUUUGGGAUAACUUCAGGAAACUGGGGCUAAUACCGGAUAGGAGCUCCUGCUGCAUGGUGGGGGUUGGAAAGUUUCGGCGGUUGGGGAUGGACUCGCGGCUUAUCAGCUUGUUGGGGGGGUAGUGGCUUACCAAGGCUUUGACGGGUAGCCGGCCUGAGAGGGUGACCGGCCACAUUGGGACUGAGAUACGGACCAGACGCCUACGGGAGGCAGCAGUGGGGAAUAUUGCACAAUGGGCGGAAGCCUGAUGCAGCAACGCCGCGUGCGGGAUGACGGCCUUCGGGUUGUAAACCGCUUUCGCCUGAGACGAAGCGUGAGUGACGGUAAUGGGUAAAGAAGCACCGGCUAACUACGUG